GGAUGCGAGGGUGAUCCAGCUGCAACAUCUGUCACCCCAUUGAUAGCCAGGGUUGUUGAUUCUGCUGAUCUGGCUGGCGAGGCAGGUGUCCCCCUCCUCCCCCAAGGCUCCACGUGAGUCCCUCCCAAAGCUGCGCGCUUGGUCAAAGAAGAUGACCACUCCCAAUAGAGGAGGACUGUAUUGGUCAGGGUUUUACUUAGAGGAACAAAUGUAAGGAACAGAUGUUAACACAAGAUAUACAAUGUAUAAGGAAUUACAAGAUUGGCUUACCACAGUA
rnacentral:sRNA from 1 species